AGGGAUUUAAAAUCCCU
rnacentral:misc_RNA from 1 species